UGGGGCGUGGCCGAGUGGUAAGGCGCCGGGUUUUGGUCCCGCUAUUCGAGGGUUCGAAUCCUUCCGUCCCAG
rnacentral:tRNA from 9 species